GACAGGGAGAGAGAGAUACAGGUAGAGAGUCAGACCGACAGGUAGAGAGACAGUCAGACAGGUAGAGAGACAGACAGGUAUUUACCCCAGUCAGUGAUCAGAGG